rnacentral:rRNA from 1 species
CCCUUAGAUGUUCUGGGCUGCACGCGCGCUACACUGAAGCGUUCAACGAGUAUUCACCUUGCCCGGGAGGGUUGGGUAAUCUUUUUAAAACGCUUCGUGAUGGGGAUAGAUUAUUGCAAUUAUUAAUCUUCAACGAGGAAUUCCUAGUAAGCGCGAGUCAUCAGCUCGUGCUGAUUACGUCCCUGCCCUUUGUACACACCGCCCGUCGCACCUACCGAUUGAAUGGUCCGGUGAAAUCUCGGGACGGCGGCUUGGUCGCUUGCGUCCGACUGCUGAAACUUGAUUAAACCAUAUCAUUUAGAGGAAGGUGAAGUCGUAACA